CCACCGGACAAUUACUGAAGUGGCUGAUCUCAAGCAGUCCUAUCAGUGGCGAGAGAGGGCUUGCCUGAAGGACAGCACAGAGGCACUCAUCCUGGCUGAUCAGGAGCAGGCCCUGAGCACCAGAGCCAUUGAGGCCCAGAUAUACCACACCGGACAAGACCCAAGGUGUAGGUUUCGUGAAAAUACGGUACAUGGAAUGCCAUAACCAGGUGGCUGGCAUAGUCUACCGAAACAUAUAUGCGGAGUAUGGACUGGAAACCCCAAGGUCAAAAUGGGAAACACCUCCGAAGGUGGUGGAGAAUGACAGAGCAAAGAUCCUGUGGGACUUCCAGAUCCAGACUGACAAGAUGGUAAUGGCAAACCAACCAGAUAUCGUGAUCAGAGAUAAAGGGCAGAGGAAAGUCGUUGUAGUGGAUGUAGCGGUUCCAAGUGAUGGAAACAUCAGAAAGAAGGAACACGAGAAACUCGAGAAAUACGCAAGGGCUCAGAGAGAAGCUGGAGAGAGCCUGGAAGGUAAAGGUGACAGUCAUGCCUGUGGUGGUCGGAGCACUCGGGGCUGUGACCCCCAAACUAGAUGAAUCAACAGAUCCCGGCAACAGAUCCCGGGAACAACAUCGGACAUCUCAGUCCAGAAAUGUGCAGUGCUGGGAACAGCAAGGAUACUGCGCAGAACCCUCAAGCUUCCUGGCCUCUGGUAGAGGACCCGAGCUGAAUGAGGGACGGACACCACCCGAGGGGUGAGACGAGGAUUUA